ACGGAGGGGGCUAGCGUUGUUCGGAAUUACUGGGCGUAAAGAGCGCGUAGGCGGCUUUGCAAGUUAGAAGUGAAAGCCCGGGGCUUAACCUCGGAAUUGCUUUUAAAACUGUGAAGCUAGAGUGUAGUAGGGGAUGAUAGAAUUCCUAGUGUAGAGGUGAAAUUCUUAGAUAUUAGGAGGAACACCGGUGGCGAAGGCGGUCAUCUGGGCUACAACUGACGCUGAGGUGCGAAAGCGUGGGGAGCAAACAGG
rnacentral:rRNA from 1 species